rnacentral:rRNA from 1 species
GACGAACGCUGGCGGCGUGCUUAACACAUGCAAGUCGAACGGUAAGGCCCUUCGGGGUACACGAGUGGCGAACGGGUGAGUAACACGUGGGUGAUCUGCCCCGCACUUCGGGAUAAGCCUGGGUAACUGGGUCUAAUACCGGAUAGGACCACUGCCUGCAUGGGUGGUGGUGGAAAGCUUUUGCGGUGUGGGAUGGGCCCGCGGCCUAUCAGCUUGUUGGUGGGGUGAUGGCCUACCAAGGCGACGACGGGUAGCCGGCCUGAGAGGGUGACCGGCCACACUGGGACUGAGAUACGGCCCAGACUCCUACGGGAGGCAGCAGUGGGGAAUAUUGCACAAUGGGCGCAAGCCUGAUGCAGCGACGCCGCGUGAGGGAUGACGGCCUUCGGGUUGUAAACCUCUUUCAGCACCGACGAAGCGCAAGUGACGGUAGGUGCAGAAGAAGGACCGGCCAACUACGUGCCAGCCGCCGCAGUAA